AUGCGGAGGGUGCAAGCGUUACUCGGAAUCACAGGGCGUAAAGCGCGCGCAGGCGGCUAUUUAAGUUGGAUGUGAAAGCCUACGGCUCAACCGUAGAACUGCAUCCAAAACUAUUUAGCUAGAGUGUGGGAGAGGAAGAUGGAAUUAGUUGUGUAGGGGUAAAAUCCGUAGAGAUAACUAGGAAUACCAAAAGCGAAGGCAAUCUUCUGGAACACUACUGACGCUGAGGCGCGAAAGCGUGGGGAGCAAACAGGAUUAGAUACCCUAGUAGUCC
rnacentral:rRNA from 1 species